CCUACGGGUGGCAGCAGUGGGGAAUAUUGCACAACGGGCGCAAGCCUGAUGCAGCCAUGCCGCGUGUAUGAAGAAGGCCUUCGGGUUGUAAAGUACUUUCAGUCGUGAGGAAGGUGUUAAGGUUAAUAACCUUAGCAAUUGACGUUAGCGACAGAAGAAGCACCGGCUAACUCCGUGCCAGCAGCCGCGGUAAUACGGAGGGUGCGAGCGUUAAUCGGAAUUACUGGGCGUAAAGGGCACGCAGGCGGUUAAAUAAGUUGGAUGGUAAAGCCCCGGGCUUUACCUUGGAAUUGCAUUCAAGACUGGGUUGCCAGAGGCUUUUAGGGGGGGGUAGAAUUCCAUGUGUAGCGGUGAAAUGCGUAGAGAUGUGGAGGAAUACCGGUGGCGAAGGCGGCCCCCUGGACAAAGACUGACGCUCAUGUGCGAAAGCGUGGGGAGCAAACAGGAUUAGAUACCCGUGUAGUC
rnacentral:rRNA from 1 species